AGAACGAACGCUGGCGGCAUGCCUAACACAUGCAAGUCGAACGAGACCUUCGGGUCUAGUGGCGCACGGGUGCGUAACGCGUGGGAAUCUGCCCUUGGGUUCGGGAUAACAGUUGGAAACGACUGCUAAUACCGGAUGAUGUCCUCGGACCAAAGAUUUAUCGCCCAAGGAUGAGCCCGCGUAGGAUUAGCUAGUUGGUGAGGUAAGAGCUCACCAAGGCGACGAUCCUUAGCUGGUCUGAGAGGAUGAUCAGCCACACUGGGACUGAGACACGGCCCAGACUCCUACGGAGGCAGCAGUGGGAAUUUGGACAAGUGGGCGAAAGCCUGAUCCAGCAAUGCCGCGUGCAGGAAGAAGGCCUUCGGUGUAACUGUCUUUGUAGGAACCCCCCCGAAGUAC
rnacentral:rRNA from 1 species